UCAGUGGCUGGGAGCAUUUUAGAGUAGGCAAAGGCGACUUAAUUGCAAUUAUAGACAGUGUGCGGUGUAAAGAAAGUGCGCGUAUCUAGAAUAUUUAAUCAAAUAACUCUGCAUACAAAUUUAUCCAUGCGUACAACUAACUACACGACAUAUGUGCAACACAAACACAAUUUAAGCCCCACUACUUGAAUUGAACGCAAAACCGCUACACAAUUAGCCAAAAAUGUCUUCCGAGGCCCAAAGGCAGCGUUCCUCAUUGCAUUUAACAGCGGAUGCUGGAAUUUUAGCUGUGGCUGCAACUGGCGCUGGAACUGGAACUGCAGCUGGAGCUGAGUGUGGUGGUGGCUCACCGGCAACGACACCGUUGGGCAGCAGUGCUGGAUUCCUGCCGGAUAUGCCGCAGUGGAAAAAGGAUUUGAUACACCGACGCAAAACAAAUGUGGCACGAACGAAUGCAGCGACAGCCAAUGCCACAUCUCCCACCAGCGCCACCUCCCCCAGCUCCCUGUCAUCGCCAACAAUAACAACAACAACAACAAAAUCAGCAACAACGUCCAUGGCAGCUGAUAGUAGCAGCAGCAGCAGUUGUCUGGCUUUCACUGAACCUGCAGAUUCAGGUGCGACUGAUGCCAGCGCAACCGCAACAAUAACUAGUCAACAACAACAACAACAACAGCAGCAGCAUGUGAAACGAAAUGUAAGCCAAACACAACAACAACAGCAAGCGGCGGCAUUUAAGACUUCACCAACAGAGGAAAAGUCUGAGAAAUGUUUUAUUGAAGCUGGAGGUCAUCAGACGCUUCUGGCAACAACAGCAACAGCCCAAAGUACACAGCAAGGCAAAGACUUAGCCACCACGGCCUUUUCAACAGAAACAGCAGCAGCAGCAGCAACAGCAGCAGCAACAACAACAACAACUGCUGGCAAUGCACCAAUACCAAAGCAGCGAUCAAGUUUAUUUAACACAAGAAGUCAAUCAACUGGCAAGGAGCAAGAGAUUCUAAAUUUGGAUACCAGAGAGAGAGAGCGUGAGAGAGAGAGCUUGAGCGUGAGAGAACGAACGUGCGGAGAGCGUGACGUUGAGUUAAAUAGCGGCGCAAUGGCCAUGGUGAAUUUGAGUGUGCGCUCUCGCGGCAGUGGUGAAGUUGAAACUGGCACAGCGACAGCGCCGACAACAACAACUGGAGCAUUAACAGCGACAGGCGGCGGCGCAAAUGUGAAACAAACGACGACUUCGUCGUCGUCGUCGUCGUCAGCAAAUCAGUUGCAAACGAAAUGCAAACAGGGCCAGAAGGCCACUGCUGAUGCAGCGCAAAUUCAAUACACAAACCCAACACCAGCAAUAUUAACGAAUAUUGAUAAAAAUUCCAAAUCGAAAAUAUCUGAUAAAUUGCAAAGCAACAAGUUUAUUAUAAAUCAACAACAACAGCAGCAGCAGCAACAACAACAACAAUUGGAACGCCAAACGGCCAACGCGUCGCCCACAAAAGUAGCGGUAAAAACGACAAUGGUCGCCAUGAAAGAAAUGAAAAAGACAACAACAAACACACAAAAUGGCCAACAUCGCCAUCAUCAUCAUCAUCCUCAUCAACAUCAUCAUCAUCUGCAAAUGAAGAGCGAACAACAACAGUUAAACGUUGAUGUUGACGUCGACGUCAGCGGCGUCGCCCAGGAGGAUCUCAGCUAUGGCCCUGGAAUUGUAUCAAAGCUGCGCUGCCGCUACCUAAAUCUGGCGCUGCGCUGCGAAACGCCCAGUCAGCUCUUGAGCCAAAAACAGCAGCGACUGCGUCGUUCCACCAGCCUAAAUACGCUGCUCGAUCGCAACGAUGAUGACGAUGACGAUGCUGACGCUGACGUCGACGGCGACGCUGCAGUUGCAAUUCCAGUUGCAGUUCCAAUUGCGGCACCAAUUCGCGCUGCGACUGCAACACCGCCGCCAAUAGCAGGCGGCAAGCCGGCAUCAAUAGCCACCACGGGCAGCGGUUACAUCAAAAGCGUGCAGCAGCAGCAACAGCAGCUGCAGCAAACCCAAAAUUCGACGCAGCAGCAGCCUUCGUCUGCGCCGUCUAACGGUACUGCAAUGCUGCGUGCGCGCCAUUUUAAGCGUGGCAAUGAGGUUAUGAAACGCGCCCGCUCCGUCGAAGCGCUGCUCUGCGAAAAAUCACCCUGGAAUACCCAAAGUCAGCGCGCCCACAGCUAUCAAGCAGCGACUGCAACUACUGCAGCAGUCAACGCAGCUAGCAGUAGCAGCAGCAGCAACAACAGCAGUAGCGCAGUCGCUGCCUCUGUCAGCAUUGAGGAUAAAAUUAGUAAUGCACGCGAACGCCUGCAUAGCGGCACAGAUGCCACGCCCCCCAAGCGGCUAACCUCCAUAAUUGAUGACACAGAACGCCCACCGCCCGAUUUGGUGAAGCAAACACUGAAAAUGUUUGAGGCAAGCGCCAAUCGGCGACCGCGCAUAGCGCAGCGGAGCAACGGCAUUGGCGGCGUUGCCAGCAAGGUUGCCAAUUACAAAUCGAUCAUCAAGGAGCAAAAGCCAAUUAACACUAACUGUAACACUAACAGCAGCACUAACAGUAAAAGAGAACAACAACAACAACAGCAGCAGCAGCAGCUACCAGGCUUUGCUGCGUCGACGCCUAAGCAGCAGCCGCGUUUAUUGAAUUCCAAUUCGCAUGUUCCAGACAUAAUACCCCGUCAGCUGGUGGAUGUUGGCGCUGCUGCACAUUCCAUUCCGUUUGAUUCGCCAGUGACGAAUCUUGGCAAAAUGCUGGAACGCAUGCAGCUGGUGGAAUCGCCAACAGUUGACGCCGCCGUCGCCGUUGUGGUGGGUGGUGAAAACAGUCAGCGCUGCUUAGUCAGCAGCAGCAGCAGCGAUAAACGAUCGCAAGUCGAAAACGAAAAAGAAGAAGAAAACAACGAUGACAACAACGACAACAUCGAAGGCGACGACGACGGCGACGAAGGCAAUGACGUCGACGGCGGCGACGCUGUUUGCAAUGGCGAUAAAUUGGGCGCGGCAGGCGGCGAUAAGUUAAAAGCGCUCGCAGCGCAGCCACCGCCGCCAUACGAUGAGGCGGCAGCAGCAGCAGCAGCAGCGGCGGCGGCGGCAGUAGCAGGAGGCGUCGGCGUCAGCGGCGUAGUCCAGCAGCGUUCAUUUGUUGCCGCCCUGCAAGAGAACGCGCACGUUUCCAGCAGCAGCAGUAGCAGCAGCAACAGCAGCAGCAGCAUCAAUUCCAGCAGUCGUAAACAAAUUGGUGUCAUCAGGCCGCUACUGAAUAAUUCCAAUAAUUCCAGUUGUGGAACGCCGCUUACCAGUCGCGAAAUUGAAAAGAAUCGCAUUAAUGAAAUGAAAAAAUCAACAGCAUUGGCCGCAGAUGCCGCUGCUGCUGCGGCAGUUGCUGCCACCACGACCACAACUACCAGUGGCACUAGUCUCGACACCGUGAUAAACACCAACAAUAAGAAUGUUAGCGAAACGGAUGCAGCAUCAUCAGCAGCAGCAACAAACGCUGGAAUUUCGCCAAUUUGGCCGUUGCGCAAGAGACGACAACCGACAACAGGUGGCGCCAGCAGCAGCAGCAUCAACAGCAGCAGCAGCAGCUACAUUGGCAACAACAUUUCCAAUUCCAGCAUCAGUUCAAUGCAUACGGACAACAACACCUCGAUGGUGUUCAACUUUUCCAAGAGCAGCAAGGAGGUGCCCGAUUAUAUUGAAAGCGAUGGUGUGAUCUACAGACGGAAACGGGAAUUGCCAAAGCCAAAUGAGCCGGGCUUCGUGUUGCUGGGCGACCUUUCGGUGGAGACAUCGACAGACACCGACUACGAUGACUACUCAAUGUGCCCGCCCUCACCAUGCGACGUGGAGUUCGAGAACGCCAAUAUUGUGAUCGAUGGCAAGUCCAGCAUACGACAGAAACCCAAAGAUUCAUCGUUCCGCGUACAAUUUAACGAUACAUUAACGUCAACGUUCGAAUAUCCCUCCGAGGCAUCGCAGACACCUAACAACGUUGACGACCCACCGUAUGCCGAUCCCUAUGGCAAUGUUAAUAAACAUCAUCAGCUGCUCUACGAGGAGCAUCUCAUGCUGCAACACCAACAACAACAGCAGCAACAACAACAGCAGCAGCAACAUCAUCAUCAUGUGACAGUUGAUGAGAUAAUUGAGCUUCCAGCAUCGACGUCGACGUCGACAUCAACAGCAGCAGCAGCACCGGCGUCGCAUAAAGCGUCAGCAACUAGCGGAAUGCUGGGAAAUUUACCGUUAGAUUACCCAAGUUUAGGGAGGGGUAUUAUUUUGCAACAACAACAACGACAACAGCAACAACAACAGCAACAGCAGGAUCAACUGGAAGCCCAACAACAGCAGCAGCAACCACAACAGCAGCAGAAGCAGAAGCAAUCACAGCUGAAGCCGCUCCAACUGCUCCUACCCGACGCAGCUGCGCCAAGUCAACGUCGUAGACCGUCGGUUCUAUUGAAGCCACAAUAUGCCUGCUUCUUGCAACACGAUAAUAAUGAUGAUGCCCUCCCGGUGCUGCCACCAAAGCCACGGCAAUCGCAUCCACCAGCCAAGCGCAAAGCUGCCUCCUUCUCGCAUUCCAAGCAAUCUCAACAACAACAUCAACAGCAUCUGAGUAAAUAUCAAACACCAGCAACAACAACAACUGUUACAACAACAACAACAACAACAAUAGCCUGCAGCAACAGGAUGAACAUUGUUGGCAUUGGCUCGUUGAGUCGCCGUCGCGCCAGUCUGCCCAUAGCCACCCAUUUGUCGACCACGUCGUCGUCGCUAUCGCUACCCAACGCAUCCACAGCACUGCUGCAGGCACGCAUUCCAGGCAACACGCUCUACUAUGUCUAAUGCGAAACCAUAUAAGAAAAAAAACAAAAUAUACACACACAACCAGAAUCAGAAUCGGAACCGUCGCGGAUCCGCUCCAAGCUUCAGAGAAACUCCACCAAAAAGAACUGCUUGAAACUCUCGCAUAUUCCUGUCUCGCAACGAAACGCUCAACGGCACUGGGCUUCUACACGCCCCUCAAGGCCUCGCCCAUGGACAGUCUUUUCCAGCUGGGUGUCACGCGUUACACAACACCGAACAGCAGC